rnacentral:pre_miRNA from 1 species
AGUUUUGCAGGUUUGCAUCCCAGCUUAUAUCCAUUGCUGUGCAAAUCCAUGCAAAACUGA